rnacentral:rRNA from 1 species
GUCCACGCCCUAAACGAUGUCGACUGGUUGUUGGGGGUUUGACACUCUCAGUAACGAAGCUAACGCGUGAAGUCGACCGCCUGGGGAGUACGGCCGCAAGGUUAAAACUCAAAAGGAAUUGACGGGGACCCGCACAAGCGGUGGAUUAUGUGGAUUAAUUCGAUGCAACGCGAAAAACCUUACCUACCCUUGACAUGUCCUGGAGGUCCCUGAGAGGGGACUGUGCCCGAAAAGGGAACGGAACACAGGUGCUGCAUGGCUGUCGU